rnacentral:tRNA from 1 species
GGGAGAGUACCAGAGUGGCCAAAUGGGACAGACUGUAAAUCUGUUGGCGCACGCCUUCGGUGGUUCGAAUCCAUCCUCUCCCACCA